ensembl:miRNA MIR34B microRNA 34b
GUGCUCGGUUUGUAGGCAGUGGUAAUUAGCUGAUUGUACUCGGGCGCUUACAAUCACUAACUCCACUGCCAUCAAAACAAGGCAC